GACGAACGCUGGCGGCGUGCUUAACACAUGCAAGUCGAACGGUGAAGCGCCUUCCUUUUUGGUGGGUGUGGAUGAGUGGCGAACGGGUGAGUAACACGUGAGUAACCUGCCCCCUUCUUCUGGAUAACCGCAUGAAAGUGUGGCUAAUACGGGAUAUUCUGGGUCUGUCGCAUGAUGGGUCUGGGAAAGAUAUUGUUUCGGUGGGGGAUGGGCUCGCGGCCUAUCAGCUUGUUGGGGGGGUGAUGGCCUACCAAGGCGGUGACGGGUAGCCGGCCUGAGAGGGUGGACGGUCACACUGGGACUGAGACACGGCCCAGACUCCGACGGGAGGCAGCAGUGGGGAAUAUUGCACAAUGGGCGCAAGCCCGAUGCAGCGACGCCGCGUGAGGGAUGGAGGCCUUCGGGUUGUGAACCUCUUUCGCCAGUGAAGCAGGCCUGCCUCGUUUGUGGGUGGGUUGACGGUAGCUGGAUAAGAAGCGCCGGCUAACUACGUG
rnacentral:rRNA from 1 species